CUGGGCAGACUUUUUAUCCAGGGUUUUCAUGAAGCUCCAAAGCUUUGCAUUGCACAAAGGCUUUCAAGGCACUGCUGCAGGAAGAUCUAAGGGACAUCCUUCCAAUCAUAUUGUCCCUUAAGGGCAAAUGGUUUCCUUUUCUUUCUUCUGUUACCCUGACCAGUCAAAUCCAUUCCUUGGAACUAACUAUCCAUCUGUCCAGUGGAACAUUGUUCAAAACAAGCUGUCCUAGUCCAUUCAAGUUGGCAGCAAGAAAUUUCUAUCCCUCUGCCUACCUUCCCAGUCCAAAAUUAAGGCACCUCUCAUCCCCCCGUUUCUUUUACACUAUGAAACACAUAGGUUUCUGGCUUGCUCCCACUGCAAGAAUUUGCCUCUGGAGUGCAGGAACUGCAGCCGUCUGAAACUGCUGGAACCAGAAUGUGUUGCUUCUCAUUCCUCCAUUCUGGCUCAGUCACAUCAGCUCACAGUUCUUUUCUGUGUAAACACAAUCCCACUCUCACACCAGCAUUAUUCUCACCCCGCUUCUCAAAUGGUUGAGCACAGGAGGAGGCACAGUUUAAACACUCCAACAGAUAACCAAAGUCCCAUGUCAGAUCUCCAGGAAGACAGCUAGGAUCCUAAGAGGAACCCAAACUCGACUCUCUGUCUCUUCCUCUGUGUAUAUAAAGCACCUACACCCACACAAA